UCUCGGCCCCUCCUCCGCAGCGCGCACCUGUCCCGCAGAAAAUAACCACCUAAGACCACAUCUUCAGCAUGUUCUGGACAGAUGUAAACACACUGGGCAUGUAAGUAAUGGAAUAAAUGAUGAGAAAGAAGCUUAGAUGAAGAGAACAAACUUAGACAGUC
rnacentral:lncRNA from 1 species